CUACGGGAGGCUGCAGUGGGGAAUAUUGCACAAUGGGCGCAAGCCUGAUGCAGCCAUGCCGCGUGUAUGAAGAAGGCCUUCGGGUUGUAAAGUACUUUCAGCGGGGAGGAAGGGAGUAAAGUUAAUACCUUUGCUCAUUGACGUUACCCGCAGAAGAAGCACCGGCUAACUCCGUGCCAGCAGCCGCGGUAAUACGGAGGGUGCAAUCGUUAAUCGGAAUUACUGGGCGUAAAGCGCACGCAGGCGGUUUGGUAAGUCAGAUGUGAAAUCCCCGGGCUCAACCUGGGAACUGCAUCUGAUACUGGCAAGCUUGAGUCUCGUAGAGGGGGGUAGAAUUCCAGGUGUAGCGGUGAAAUGCGUAGAGAUCUGGAGGAAUACCGGUGGCGAAGGCGGCCCCCUGGACGAAGACUGACGCUCAGGUGCGAAAGCGUGGGGAGCAAACAGGAUUAGAUACCCUCGUAGUC
rnacentral:rRNA from 1 species